rnacentral:rRNA from 1 species
CAGGGGGGCUGCAGUGGGGAAUAUUGGACAAUGGGCGAAAGCCUGAUCCAGCCAUGCCGCGUGUGUGAAGAAGGCCUUCGGGUUGUAAAGCACUUUCAGUGGGGAAGAAAGCCUUGGGGCUAAUACCCUCGAGGAAGGACAUCACCCACAGAAGAAGCACCGGCUAACUCCGUGCCAGCAGCCGCGGUAAUACGGAGGGUGCGAGCGUUAAUCGGAAUUACUGGGCGUAAAGCGCGCGUAGGCGGUCUGAUAAGCCGGUUGUGAAAGCCCCGGGCUCAACCUGGGAACGGCAUCCGGAACUGUCAGGCUAGAGUGCAGGAGAGGAAGGUAGAAUUCCCGGUGUAGCGGUGAAAUGCGUAGAGAUCGGGAGGAAUACCAGUGGCGAAGGCGGCCUUCUGGACUGACACUGACGCUGAGGUGCGAAAGCGUGGGUAGCAAACAGGAUUAGAUACCCGGGUAGUC